rnacentral:misc_RNA from 1 species
CCAAUAGCGUAUAUUAAAGUUGUUGCAGUUAAAAAGCUCGUAGUUGAAUUUCGGGAUCAGUACGCUGGUCGUGCCUUCGGUAUGUACUGGUGUUACUGGUUCCUACCUUCUGACGAACCGUCAUGUCAUUAAUUUGGUGUGGCGGGAAAUCAGGACUGUUACUUUGAAAAAAUUAGAGUGUUUAAAGCAGGCUCGCGCUUGAAUACAUUAGCAUGAAAUAAUGAAAUAGGACGUUCGAUCCUAUUUUGUUGGUUUCUAGGAUUGACGUAAUGAUUAAUAGGGAUAGGUGGGGGCAUUAGUAUUCAAUUGUCAGAGGUGAAAUUCUUGGAUUUAUUGAAGACUAACUACUGCGAAAGCAUUUGCCAAGGAUGUUUUCAUUAAUCAAGAACGAAAGUUAGGGGAUCGAAGACGAUCAGAUACCGUCGUAGUCUUAACCAUAAACUAUGCCGACUAGGGAUCGGAUGAUGUUAUUUUUAAUGACUCAUUCGGCGCCUUACG